GAAUGAUCACAAAUAACCCUACCUGCGGUGUUGUUCAUGUGGAUGGUGACAAGACCUACUGCUGGACAGAAGGUCUUUUAGCACAGGUGCUGCCUUUGGACUUUCCAGUGCCUCAGCAUCAGCCUGGGGAUCACGUUCUCAUCAAAGAGGGGAAAGAAGGGAAACUCGAGCCAGCCCGGGAAGGACCCUACCUUGUGCUGCUAACCACUGAGACUGCUGUUCGUAAGGUUGGAAAGAGAUGGACACAUCACACAUGAGUCAAGCAAGCACCAUUAUCCUCAGAAUCAUGGGCCAUUGUUCCUGGAUCAAGCCCUACCAAAUUAAAGCUAAG
rnacentral:lncRNA from 1 species